GACGAACGCUGGCGGCGUGCUUAACACAUGCAAGUCGAACGGAAAGGCCCUGCUUUUGUGUGGUGCUCGAGUGGCGAACGGGUGAGUAACACGUGAGUAACCUGCCCUUGACUUUGGGAUAACUUCAGGAAACUGGGGCUAAUACCGGAUAGGAGCUCCUGCUGCAUGGUGGGGGUUGGAAAGCUUCGGCGGUUGGGGAUGGACUCGGGGGUUACGAGCUUGUUGGUGGGGUAGUGGCCUACCAAGCCUUUGACGGGUAGCCGGCCUGAGAGACUGAUCGGCCGCACUGGAAGGGAGACACGGUCAAUACUCCUACGAGACGGAGCAGUGUGGAAUGGGAGGCAGUGGUCGAGAGUAUGGCACAGUGAGGGGGCGCGUGAUACGGAGGUGUCGCGUGCGUGAAGACCGCCUACGGGUUAUGAACCGCUUUCGCCUGAGACGAAGCGUGAGUGACGGUAAUGGGUAAAGAAGCACCGGCUAACUACGUG
rnacentral:rRNA from 1 species